ACGGGUCUAGCUCAGUUGGUAGAGCACUGGUCUCCAAAACCAGUUGUCGGGAGUUCGAGCCUCUCGACCCGUGCUA
rnacentral:tRNA from 1 species